rnacentral:lncRNA from 1 species
AAUUCAAAACUGAAUAAUUUUUAUUGAAUUAUCCCGAUUACUUUGAUAUUUACUUUUUUUUUGUUUCUACCCAUGUAGUGUGGGGGGAAUACAUAAAUUUUUUUUUCUUAUCUUAGAUUAUCUUAGAUUUUGAACCUUUCUUUUAAUUCUUCGUUCUUUUUUUUUUCAUAUAGUCAUUCAAUAUUCAAUUCACAAUUACAGGAGAUGAAUCUUUCUUUUUUUUGAAUCCCCACCUAAAUUUAGAGUAGUAGCAGGACUAAUUUAGAUAGAUAGUCAUCUAUAACUAAUGAAUAUAUACUAUGACAUAUACGUGUGUUUGUUCUGUAGCGUAAACCAAUUAGUUGUAU